UACGGAGGGUGCAAGCGUUAUCCGGAUUCGCUGGGUUUAAAGGGUGCGUAGGUGGGUCCGUAAGUCAGUGGUGAAAUCUCCGAGCUUAACUUGGAAACUGCCAUUGAUACUAUAGAUCUUGAAUACCGUGGAGGUCAGCGGAAUAUGUCAUGUAGCGGUGAAAUGCUUAGAUAUGACAUAGAACACCAAUUGCGAAGGCAGCUGGCUACACGAAUAUUGACACUGAUGCACGAAAGCGUGGGGAUCAAACAGG
rnacentral:rRNA from 1 species